UCUAGAACUCGAGAUAUGGGUUGAACACUGAACACUGUCUGGGCUGUAGGACAGAUUCGGACUUCUUCGUUGUUGCUAUAAUUUGGACUUGAAAACGGCCUUAAAUCUUGGACUCCUCAUGAAAGUUGUAGGCCUAUGUCUUAGCUUUCCAUC
rfam:Populus trichocarpa scaffold_7_contig_123, whole genome shotgun sequence.